rnacentral:rRNA from 1 species
UUAACUCUUUCUUUUAGAUUGAGAGCGGUUAGUGGCGGACUGGUGAGUAACACGUAAGCAACCUGCCUAUCAGAGGGGAAUAACAAUGAGAAAUCAUUGCUAAUACCGCAUAAGCUAGUAGUAUCGCAUGAUACAGCUAGAAAAGGAGCAAUCCGCUGAUAGAUGGGCUUGCGUCUGAUUAGCUAGUUGGUGGGGUAACGGCCUACCAAGGCGACGAUCAGUAGCCGAGCUGAGAGGCUCUACGGCCACAUUGGGACUGAGAUACGGCCCAGACUCCUACGGGAGGCAGCAGUCGGGAAUUUUGCGCAAUGGAGGAAACUCUGACGCAGUGACGCCGCGUAUAGGAAGAAGGUUUUCGGAUUGUAAACUAUUGUCAUUAGGGAAGAAAUUUGACAGUACCUAAGGAGGAAGCUCCGGCUAACUAUGUGCCAGCAGCCGCGGUAAUACAUAGGGAGCAAGCGUUAUCCGGAUUUAUUGGGUGUAAAGGGUGCGUAGACGGGAAUACAAGUUGGUUGUGAAAUCCCUCGGCUUAACUGAGGAACUGCAACCAAAACUAUAUUUCUUGAGUGUUGGAGAGGAAAGUGGAACUCCUAGUGUAGCGGUGAAAUGCGUAGAUAUUAGGAGGAACACCAGUGGCGAAGGCGACUUUCUGGACAAUAACUGACGUUGAGGCACGAAAGUGUGGGGAGCAAACAGG